rnacentral:lncRNA from 1 species
GGAAGAUAACUUGAAAACCAGAGGCCCAUGGCCUGGUCAGGUUGUGCAGACAGCACCAGCGCCGGAGCCACCUCCCGCCAGCUGCGGGGUCCCUGCUCAGAGUGCUGGAGCUGCACGUCCGGGAGCUGCUCCUGGUGGGAAUUCGGAGCUUCUCUGGGUCCUGUCUGAGAGUCCCCGCUCCUGACCCAGCACUUCAGGGCGCGGGCAACACACCAUUGGAGCUGGUGGAGUUCAGACCCUGGCCUGAACCUGGGUGUCGCAUUCAUUUGCCCGGUGGCCAGGAAAGCCCAGAAACAUGGGAGACAUCUCCAUGGUAACAGCCGAGCCUGCCUGGGUUGCUAAGCAACGGAAGAGAAAGGAGCAGGAUGGAGCGGCUGGUGGCGAACCAGGCCUGCAGCCUGCAGUGCCCACCUGGAUGAGCCACAUCGCCAGCUCCCCC